rnacentral:rRNA from 1 species
UAGGGAAUAUUGCAAAAUGGGCGAAAGCCCGAUGCAGCAACGCCGCGUGGGCGAUGAAGGCCUUCGGGUCGUAAAGCCCUUUUUGAGGGGAUGAGGAGGGACAGUACCCUCAGAAUAAGCCUCGGCUAACUACGUGCCAGCAGCCGCGGUAAAACGUAGGAGCCGAGCGUUAUCCGGAUUUACUGGGCGUAAAGCGCGUGCAGGCGGAUUGGAGAGUUGGAUGUGAAAGCUCCCGGCUUAACUGGGAGAGGUCGUUCAAUACUUCCAGUCUUGAGUGCAGUAGAGGGAAGUGGAAUUCCGGGUGUAGUGGUGAAAUGCGUAGAUAUCCGGAGGAACACCAGUGGCGAAAGCGGCUUCCUGGACUGUAACUGACGCUCAGACACGAAAGCUAGGGUAGCAAACG